UGGGCAGUAGCUCAGUGGUAGAGCUCCCACUUCGUACGCGGGAAGGCCUGGGUUGGAUUCUCGGCUGCUUUC
rnacentral:tRNA from 1 species